GGAAUAUUGGACAAUGGGGGCAACCCUGAUCCAGCCAUGCCGCGUGUGUGAAGAAGGCUUUCGGGUUGUAAAGCACUUUCAGUGGGGAAGAAGGCCUCGGGCUUACUACGCGUGAGGAAGGACAUCCCCCAUAGCAGAAGCACCGGCUAACUCCGUGCCAGCAGCCGCGGUAAUACGGAGGGGGCGAGCGUUAAUCGGAAUUACUGGGCGUAAAGCGCGCGUAGGCGGCUAAGUAAGCCGGUUGUGAAAGCCCCGGGCUCAACCUGGGAACGGCAUCCGGAACUGUUUAGCUAGAGUGCAGGAGAGGAAGGUAGAAUUCCCGGUGUAGCGGUGAAAUGCGUAGAGAUCGGGAGGAAUACCAGUGGCGAAGGCGGCCUUCUGGACUGACACUGACGCUGAGGUGCGAAAGCGUGGGGAGCA
rnacentral:rRNA from 1 species